rnacentral:rRNA from 3 species
ACAGUGGACGCGAGCAUCUGUGGCCAAGUUUUUAAGGGCGCACGGUGGAUGCCUUGGCACCAGGAACCGAUGAAGGACGUGGGAGGCCACGAUAGUCCCCGGGGAGUCGUCAACCAGGCUUUGAUCCGGGGGUUUCCGAAUGGGGAAACCCGGCAGUCGUCAUGGGCUGUCACCCGCUGCUGAACACAUAGGCAGUGUGGAGGGAACGCGGGGAAGUGAAACAUCUCAGUACCCGCAGGAAGAGAAAACAACCGUGAUUCCGGGAGUAGUGGCGAGCGAAACCGGAUGAGGCCAAACC